CAGACGACGACGUUAUCAUUGUCUUGAAGAUCCAUAACAAUGGUGAAACCGAUUGAGAUUUAAGUUGUAGUUUUUACAAAUAUAAACUACGUAAUACCGAAAAGAUUGUUUGCGGAAGGCCACCAUAUUCAACUGGAGAGUACAACAUACACACCUGGAAAUAUAAACAACCAACUUUUUUGUGGCUGGAUACAUGUAUUAAUAUCAUAGCUAAUUGUAUUUUAACUAGUGGCAGGAAACAGGAUAAUGUUGUUCAGUUGCAACUGUUCAACUUCGUUAUUGGUAAUUUAACUUUGCAUUUAAUCGAACUUUGUGCACCUAUUUCCCAUCAUGAAAAGGGAAGGGGUAUAUUUUUGCGUUUUUCGUGUGGCCUUACGCAAAUAUAAUGGUAUCAGAAGUCACAUCUACUUGAAAGUUGGUUUAAUUUGAAUCUUAUUUUUGACUGAUAGCUACUACCUUAUGACUUUUCAUAAAAUCAGGUUUCGUUAUAAGUGAACAAUUUAGUUUGGUAAGACUUGUUGCUCAUGAAUACGUUAAUAUUCGAUGAUUUCUUUGCCACAGUAUAUAAACUUUGAUUUAUGUAUAAUCAAAUACUUGUUAUAAGUCUAUGAUGGUUUCCAGCAACAGAAAUCUACUGGAUAGUACAAGAGAAA
rnacentral:lncRNA from 1 species